GUAAGACUACCCGCUGAACUUAAGCAUAUCAAUAAGCGGAGGAA
rnacentral:rRNA from 1 species